CCUACGGGUGGCAGCAGUGGGGAAUAUUGCACAAUGGGGGAAACCCUGAUGCAGCGACGCCGCGUGAGUGAGGAAGUAUUUCGGUAUUUAAAGCUCUAUCAGCAGGGAAGAAAAUGACGGUACCUGACUAAGAAGCCCCGGCUAACUACGUGCCAGCAGCCGCGGUAAUACGUAGGGGGCAAGCGUUAUCCGGAUUUACUGGGUGUAAAGGGAGCGUAGACGGUUAAUCAAGUCAGAAGUGAAAACCCAGGGCUCAACCUUGGGACUGCUUUUGAAACUGAGUUUCUUGAGUGCUAGAGAGGCAUGCGGAAUGCCGUGUGUAGCGGUGAAAUGCGUAGAUAUACGGCGGAACACCAGUGGCGAAGGCGGAUUGCUGGACAGUAACUGACGCUGAGGCGCGAAAGCGUGGGGAGCGAACAGGAUUAGAUACCCGAGUAGUC
rnacentral:rRNA from 1 species